AGGAUUAUAGUUAACUAUAACAUCUGGGUUGCAUUCAGAAGGUACCUGAAGGUUUUUCUUG
rnacentral:tRNA from 1 species